AUUGAACGCUGGCGGCAUGCCUUACACAUGCAAGUCGAACGGCAGCAUGGAGAGCUUGCUCUCUGAUGGCGAGUGGCGAACGGGUGAGUAAAGCAUCGGAACGUACCGUGUAGUGGGGGAUAACGUAGCGAAAGUUACGCUAAUACCGCAUACGCACUGAGGUGGAAAGCAGGGGAUCGUAAGACCUUGCGCUAUACGAGCGGCCGAUGUCAGAUUAGCUAGUUGGUAGGGUAAAGGCCUACCAAGGCGACGAUCUGUAGCGGGUCUGAGAGGAUGAUCCACCACACUGGGACUGAGACACGGCCCAGACUCCUACGGGAGGCAGCAGUGGGGAAUUUUGGACAAUGGGGGCAACCCUGAUCCAGCCAUGCCGCGUGAGUGAAGAAGGCCUUCGGGUCGUAAAGCUCUUUCGGCCGGGAAGAAAUCGCACAGGCUAAUACCCUGUGUGGAUGACGGUACCGGCAUAAGAAGCACCGGCUAACUACGUGCCAGCAGCCGCAGUAA
rnacentral:rRNA from 1 species